AUUAAUGAAUUGUGACAGAACUACGAUAUUCAAAAUUUCAGUAAUGCAAUAAAAUAAACCAUAAUACUAAGCUAUCCCGCCAAAUAACUAUCGAGAGGAAACGAAAGUGAAUCUGCGAUUUUUAAUACAUAUUCGCGAGAGACAUUGACAAUGUAUCUAGGGCUAUCCAAAGAGCGAAGCACACCUUUGGAAGCCGAAAGUAUCAUUUUUAAGGAGGCGAGUGUAGCUAUUUGAACAAAAACAUCAGCGGUCAGAACUUUCUCUACCGGGGAAGAAAUGGCAUAAUAAAUAGCAAUCAACCUUUCUACUUCAAAAGGUUUAGGUCCUAAUGUAAGUUGGGAUAUUUUUACAGCAGACCGGCCUUUGCUCCCAGCGGUUCUUGGUAUUUUGGAAAAUAAAACCCCUUCAUCUUGAAUUUGUUUACGUUUUCUUCCACGUCGUUUCGAAGUUUUAGAAAAUGAAAAAAAUUGGGCGUCUAACCGGCUUGGAUUAUAAGAUGCUAGGAAUGCAGAAACGAGUAAAUAUUUGGAAACGAGCGACAAGUUAAUAGAUUUGGAAUCAAGAAGAUUUUUUAUUUCAGUCGGGUUGAUUAUGUGAAGUCUUUUAGUAACCGUAGCAUCUGACACUAAAAAGUUUUUAGCCAGCUUGUGAAGUUGAGCAUAAUCAGCAGGAUGUAUGUCUCCUUCAACUAUAGGUUGAAUGAACUUUGGCCAAUAUCUAUCCAAAACACUACGAAAAGACCUAUAGUCAUUUAAGCACUGCACUCCAAAAACACUCCAAAGAAACGAGCAAUAUUGCAUCCAGACGCUGAGCUCAAUUUCGUCUUCAAAAACACUAUCGCCAGAUCUAUCCAAAAAAUCUAAAUUAGGAGGUGUUUUUUGGCAUAUCUCUAAUAUUUCCGCUUGGGUAUAUUGUGGGAAAAAAAUCACUGCAAUAGACAAUGUUCCCAAGUAUUGAGCAGGGUGAGAAUGAAGUACAAAAAUGAUUGACAGAUUGGGAAUGUUUGCCUAAAAUAGUUAAUCAGUGGGUCUGUAAAUAUUUACUUACAACAAUCGGAAGCUGAGCUAAUUGUGAGAAUAGAAUAGUAGAAGCCUCAGCGAAAUCAUCUAUUUGAUCCAGCACCUAUAACUCAUAUUAGUAUUUAAGAGUAAUAAAAUAGGAGAGGAACUAAGUACCAAAAAUGUAUGAUAGUCCCUUUUGGACAUUGCCUGUUCCAGUAAAUAAAUAAAUCCACUGAUAUUAAUGCCUUUUUUUAAUGCUAUAUCUUUGUCAACACCGACUUUUAUAAGGAUCCGGUACCAGAAAUGAGCGACUGUAAAACAGUCUUGCAAAUUAAUCCAAACAUUUUCUUCUUUUGACAAAUCAAAAGCGGUCCGCAAUAAAAAAGUCUUUGCUGUACUAGCAACUCCGUAAAGCACAAUGCUUGGAACACGACAAUCCUUAUUAAAAAGUAAACAUGAAAGUUUCUUUAUUUGAUCUUCCCUGCAAAAGACAUUCUUUUUUAAUUCGUCUUCCAACUGAUACAAAUGCAUUUCAUGGCAAUAUGCUUAUGCUUUGGCAUAUGGUGUCGUGCAGUGAAACAUUCAUCGCUCGAAGCAAAAACUAGUGGACUAAUUUAUACAAAUAAACGAAAGGUAAUUAAUGGAAAACGAAGAAUAAUAUUCGUACAUUUCAAAUACAAUUUAAACUUUGGAAUUAUUGAAAUCUUAAUUGAUUGUUUACUAUAAGCGUUGUACUUGGUUCAA